AGCUACGGAAGCCCGCCUGGCCCGAAACGCGAUCACGGAGCAGCCCCGCCCCCUCCGGCAUAGCUCCGCCCCUGCCAUCAUAGCUCCGCCCCGCGCUUAGUAGUUUGUGGAGUCACAGCGCCUGCGACCAGGGAGGGGACCGAAGAGAGUCUGGAACACAGUUCUUCAAUGACAGGGGCUGAAGUAAAUAACGUGUAGAAUAUCGCAUAAUUUUAAAAUGUUCUUACAUACCGAAUGGGAAUCAAUGAUGAAUGAAGGAAGUUUGCUUUUAAUCCUGUUGUUUACAACAGCAGCCCUGAGUGUAAACGGGCUUACGGUAGCAGAAUUCAUCCAAAUGGCUUCUAUUUGGAGUCAUCAUCGGACCAAAAUAGAAAAACCCCACAAAGGAUCCGGCUUUGGUUCCCAUCAUCCACGUGGUGGCUCACAAACAUCUGUAACUCCAGUUCCAGGGCAUCCGGAGCCCUCAACUGACUCUUGAGAGCACUGGGCCCACAUGCGCACAGACAUACAUGGAGGCAAAAUACACAUGUAAAAUAAAUAAAUCUAAAA